rnacentral:rRNA from 1 species
UCACCCCUACGGGACGCAGCAGUGAGGAAUAUUGGUCAAUGGUCGGGAGACUGAACCAGCCAAGCCGCGUGAGGGAUGAAGGUACAGAGUAUCGUAAACCUCUUUUGUCAGGGAACAAAGGCGGGGACGUGUCCCCGGAUGAGUGUACCUGAAGAAAAAGCAUCGGCUAACUCCGUGCCAGCAGCCGCCGUAAUACGGAGGAUGCGAGCGUUAUCCGGAUUUAUUGGGGUUUAAGGGAGCGCAGGCGGUCGGUUCAGUCA